CGCUGGUUUCUGCCGCAGUGAUA
rnacentral:miRNA from 14 species